UACGAAGGGGGCUAGCGUUGUUCGGAUUUACUGGGCGUAAAGCGCACGUAGGCGGAUCGUUAAAGUUAGGGGUGAAAUCCUGGAGCUCAACUCCAGAACUGCCUUCGAUACUGGCGAUCUAGAGUCCGGAAGAGGUGAGUGGAACUCCUAGUGUAGAGGUGGAAUUCGUAGAUAUUAGGAAGAACACCAGUGGCGAAGGCGGCUCACUGGUCCGGUACUGACGCUGAGGUGCGAAAGCGUGGGGAGCAAACAGGG
rnacentral:rRNA from 1 species